rnacentral:rRNA from 1 species
UACACGCUGUGACUAGCAUAUCAAUAAGCGGAGGAAAAGAAGCUAACAAGGAUUCCCCUAGUAACGGCGAGUGAAGCGGGAAGAGCUCAAAUUUGAAAUCUUAAAGGGUUUCCCUUUACGAACUGUAGUUUAAAGAAGUGUUUUCUGUUGAGGUUUUGGUAAAAGUUCUUUGGAAUAGGACAUCAUAGAGGGUGAGAAUCCCGUAUUUGACCUUUACUUUCAACUUUGUGAUACACUUUCAAAGAGUCGGAUUGUUUGGGAAUGCAGUCCAAAAUGGGUGGUAAAUUUCAUCUAAAGCUAAAUAUUGGCGAGAGACCGAUAGCGAACAAGUACCGUGAGGGAAAGAUGAAAAGAACUUUGAAAAGAGAGUUAAACAGUACGUGAAAAUUGUCAAAAGGGAAGCGUUUGACACCAGUGUUGUUUUUCUGAAAAUCAAUUAAAGAACUGUUUAUGCUAAGUUGUUUAGACUUUAUCAGCUAUCUGUUUAGUUUUGAGCUUUUCUUUAAUGCACUUUUCAGUUAACAAGUCAACAUCAAUUUCUUUUGCUGUAAAAAAGCUUGAGGAAGGUGGCUUGAGAUUCGUCUUAAGUGUUUAUAGCCUCUUGCCUAUGCAGUCGGAGAGAUUGAGGUCUGCAGCGUAGAUCCUUCGGGGCUAAAUGCAUUUGUGCUAAGUUAUAACAUUUUAUGGACAACUUGUUGACUAUGAUUUGUCUUGUAGCUUACUCGCUUAUGUUAUUUUACCUACGCUUAGGAUGUUGACGCGCGUGUGUGCGUG